rnacentral:rRNA from 1 species
CAGCCGCCGCGGUAAUACAGAGGGUGCGAGCGUUAAUCGGAUUUACUGGGCGUAAAGCGUGCGUAGGCGGCUUCUUAAGUCGGAUGUGAAAUCCCUGAGCUUAACUUAGGAAUUGCAUUCGAUACUGGGAAGCUAGAGUAUGGGAGAGGAUGGUAGAAUUCCAGGUGUAGCGGUGAAAUGCGUAGAGAUCUGUAGGAAUACCGAUGGCGAAGGCAGCCAUCUGGCCUAAUACUGACGCUGAGGUACGAAAGCAUGGGGAGCAAACAGGAUUAAAUACCCCGGUAGUCCCUGUCUCUUAUAC